rnacentral:rRNA from 1 species
GUACCAUAACCGACACAGGUGGGUAGGUAGAGUAUACUAAGGGGCGCGAGAUAACUCUCUCUAAGGAACUCGGCAAAAUGACUCCGUAACUUCGGGAGAAGGAGUGCCUUAUUUAUAAGGUUGCAAUAACAAGAUCCAAGCAACUUUUAUCAAAAACACAGGUCUCCGCUAAGUCGUAAGACGAUGUAUGGGGCUGACGCCUGCCCAGUGCCAGAAGGCUAAAGAAGUUGGUUAGUGUAUGCGAAGCUGAUGACUGAAGCCCUGGUGAACGGCGGCCGUAACGAUAACGGUCCUAAGGUAGCGAAAUUCCUUGUCGGGUAAGUUCCGACCCGCACGAAAGGCGUAAUGAUUUGGAUACUGUCUCGGAGAGAGGCUCGGUGAAAUAGACUUGUCUGUGAAGAUGCGGACUACCUGCACCAGGACAGAAAGACCCUAUGAAGCUUUACUGUAACUUGAAAUUGGAAUUGGACUUUGCUUGCGCAGUAUAGGUGGGAAGCGUUGAAGAUAUUCUUGCGGGAGUAUUGGAGCUAUCAGUGAGAUACCACUCUUGUAAUGUUAGAUUUCUAACUUUGAACCAUAAUCUGGUCAAAGAACAGUUUCAGGUGGGCAGUUUGACUGGGGCGGUCGCCUCCCAAAUGGUAACGGAGGCGUACAAAGGUUUCCUCUGAACGGAUAGAAAUCGUAUCUAGAGUGUAAAGGCAUAAGGAAGCUUGACUGUGAGACCUACAAGUCGAGCAGGGACGAAAGUCGGUCUUAGUGAUCUGACGGUACUGAGUGGAAAGGCCGUCACUCAACGGAUAAAAGUUACUCUAAGGAUAACAGGCUGAUCUCCCCCAAGAGUUCACAUCGACGGGGAGGUUUGGCACCUCGAUGUCGGCUCAUCGCAUCCUGGGGCGGUAGUACGUCCCAAGGGUUGGGCUGUUCGCCCAUGAAAGCGGUACGCGAGCUGGGUUCAGAACGUCGUGAGACAGUUCGGUCCAUAUCCGGUGUAGGCGUUAGAAUAUUGAGAGGAGCCUUCUUUAGUACGAGAGGACCGAGAAGGACACACCGCUGGUGUACCAGUUAUCGUGCCAACGGUAAACGCUGGGUAGCUAUGUGUGGAGUGGAUAACCGCUAAAAGCAUCUAAGUGGGAAGCCCACCUCAAGAUGAGUGCUCUCACAGGGUUAACCUGGUAAGGUCACGGGAAGACCACCCGUUAAUAGGCACUAGGUGGAAGUCCAGGAAUGGAUGGAGCCAAGGUGUACUAACAGACCGAGGGCUUGAU